UACAGAGGUGGCAAGCGUUGUUCGGAAUUACUGGGCGUAAAGGGCGCGUAGGCGGCCUUGUAAGUCCUGUGUGAAAUCCCCCGGCUCAACUGGGGAACUGCACAGGAGACUGCUUGGCUUGAGUUCGGGAGAGGGAAGCGGAAUUCCGGGUGUAGCGGUGAAAUGCGUAGAUAUCCGGAGGAACACCGGUGGCGAAGGCGGCUCUCUGGACACUUACUGACGCUGAGACGCGAAAGCGUGGGGAGCAAACAGG
rnacentral:rRNA from 1 species